rnacentral:rRNA from 1 species
GAUGAACGCUGGCGGCGUGCCUAACACAUGCAAGUCGAACGGACUUACAUUGAAGCCUAGCGAUAUGUAAGUUAGUGGCGGACGGGUGAGUAACGCGUGGGUAACCUGCCUUGUACUGGGGGACAACAGUUGGAAACGACUGCUAAUACCGCAUAAGCCCACGGUACCGCAUGGUACUGAGGGAAAAGGAUUUAUUCGCUUUAGGAUGGACUCGCGUCCAAUUAGCUAGUUGGUGAGGUAAUGGCCCACCAAGGCGACGAUUGGUAGCCGGACUGAGAGGUUGAACGGCCACAUUGGGACUGAGACACGGCCCAGACUCCUACGGGAGGCAGCAGUGGGGGAUAUUGCACAAUGGGGGAAACCCUGAUGCAGCGACGCCGCGUGGAGGAAGAAGGUUUUCGGAUUGUAAACUCCUGUCGUUAGGGACGAUAAUGACGGUACCUAACAAGAAAGCACCGGCUAACUACGUG